rnacentral:rRNA from 1 species
UACGAAGGGGGCUAGCGUUGCUCGGAAUGACUGGGCGUAAAGGGCGCGUAGGCGGUUCGUACAGUCAGACGUGAAAUUCCCGGGCUCAACCUGGGGGCUGCGUUUGAUACGUGCGGGCUUGAGUUCGGAAGAGGGUCGUGGAAUUCCCAGUGUAGAGGUGAAAUUCGUAGAUAUCUGGAGGAACACCGGUGGCGAAGGCGGCAUCCUGGACCGGCAUUGACGCUGAGGCGCGAAAGCCAGGGGAGCAAACGGG